GUGCCAGCCGCUGCGGUAAUACGAAGGGGGCUAGCGUUGCUCGGAAUCACUGGGCGUAAAGCGCACGUAGGCGGAUCGUUAAGUCAGGGGUGAAAUCCUGGGGCUCAACCUCAGAACUGCCCUUGAUACUGGCGAUCUCGAGUUCGAGAGAGGUUGGUGGAACUCCGAGUGUAGAGGUGAAAUUCGUAGAUAUUCGGAAGACACCAGUGGCGAAGGCGGCCAAC
rnacentral:rRNA from 1 species